rnacentral:antisense_RNA from 1 species
UGUGGGAGCGGGCUUGCUCGCGAAUGCGGUGUUUCAGUCAAUGAAUGAGUCAACUGACACACCGCAUUCGCGAGCAAGCCCGCUCCCACA